rnacentral:rRNA from 1 species
CCUGGCUCAGGAUGAACGCUGGCGGCGUGCCUAACACAUGCAAGUCGAGCGAAGCACUUUGCUUAGAUUCUUCGGAUGAAGAGGAUUGUGACUGAGCGGCGGACGGGUGAGUAACGCGUGGGUAACCUGCCUCAUACAGGGGGAUAACAGUUAGAAAUGACUGCUAAUACCGCAUAAGACCACAGCACCGCAUGGUGCGGGGGUAAAAACUCCGGUGGUAUGAGAUGGACCCGCGUCUGAUUAGCUGGUUGGUAAGGUAACGGCUUACCAAGGCGACGAUCAGUAGCCGACCUGGGAGGGUGACCGGCCACAUUGGGACUGAGACACGGCCCAAACUCCUACGGGAGGCAGCAGUGGGGAAUAUUGCACAAUGGGGGAAACCCUGAUGCAGCGACGCCGCGUGAGCGAAGAAGUAUUUCGGUAUGUAAAGCUCUAUCAGCAGGGAAGAAAAUGACGGUACCUGACUAAGAAGCACCGGCUAAAUACGUGCCAGCAGCCGCGGUAAUACGUAUGGUGCAAGCGUUAUCCGGAUUUACUGGGUGUAAAGGGAGCGUAGACGGAUGGGCAAGUCUGAUGUGAAAACCCGGGGCUCAACCCCGGGACUGCAUUGGAAACUGUUCAUCUAGAGUGCUGGAGAGGUAAGUGGAAUUCCUAGUGUAGCGGUGAAAUGCGUAGAUAUUAGGAGGAACACCAGUGGCGAAGGCGGCUUACUGGACAGUAACUGACGUUGAGGCUCGAAAGCGUGGGGAGCAAACAGGAUUAGAUACCUGGUAGUCCACGCCGUAAACGAUGACUACUAGGUGUCGGGUGGCAAAGCCAUUCGGUGCCGCAGCAAACGCAAUAAGUAGUCCACCUGGGGAGUACGUUCGCAAGAAUGAAACUCAAAGGAAUUGACGGGGACCCGCACAAGCGGUGGAGCAUGUGGUUUAAUUCGAAGCAACGCGAAGAACCUUACCUGCUCUUGACAUCCCGCUGACCGGACGGUAAUGCGUCCUUCCCUUCGGGGCAGCGGAGACAGGUGGUGCAUGGUUGUCGUCAGCUCGUGUCGUGAGAUGUUGGGUUAAGUCCCGCAACGAGCGCAACCCCUAUCUUUAGUAGCCAGCGGCCAGGCCGGGCACUCUAGAGAGACUGCCGGGGAUAACCCGGAGGAAGGUGGGGAUGACGUCAAAUCAUCAUGCCCCUUAUGAGCAGGGCUACACACGUGCUACAAUGGCGUAAACAAAGGGAAGCGAGACCGCGAGGUGGAGCAAAUCCCAAAAAUAACGUCUCAGUUCGGAUUGUAGUCUGCAACUCGACUACAUGAAGCUGGAAUCGCUAGUAAUCGCGAAUCAGAAUGUCGCGGUGAAUACGUUCCCGGGUCUUGUACACA